rnacentral:rRNA from 1 species
GUCUACGGCCAUGCCACUCUGAACAAGCCUGAUCCUGUCUGAUUUCGGAAGCUAAGCAGGGUCGGGCCUGGCUAGUACUUGGAUGGAAGACUAGGUGCUGUAGGUG